rnacentral:rRNA from 1 species
AUGCCGGCCCUACUCCUGCUCAUACUCCUGCUGCUGAGCCGUGGCGGCGAGGUGGCCUGGUCGCAGCUGGACGAUGGCCAGUUCGCCUACCAAGGCUUCGCCGGCGCCAACCUUACCCUGGACGGCCUCGCCGCCGUCAUGCCCGGCGGCCUGCUCGCGCUCACCAACUUCACGCAGCAGACUAAGGCCCACGCCUUCCACCCCGCCCCGCUCCGCUUCCUCGGCGGCUCGGCCAACGCCACGGCGGUGCGCUCCUUCUCCACGUCCUUCGUCUUCGCCAUCGUGUCGGGCUACGACGGCCUCAGCGACCACGGGCUCGCCUUCGUCGUCGCCCCGACCACCAACUUCACCACCGCCAACUCCGGCCAGUACCUGGGCCUCCUCAACACCACCAACGGCACCGCCAGCGCCCCCAUCUUGGCCGUCGAGCUCGACACCAUCCUCAGCCCCGAGUUCCGCGACAUCAACAGCAAUCACGUCGGCAUCGACGUCAACAGCCUCGUGUCGCGGCAGGCCCAGCCGGCUGGCUACUACGACGACGACGGCGGCGGCGCCCUUCGGGACCUCAGGCUUAACAGCCGACAGCCCAUGCAGUUGUGGGUGGACUACGACGGCCAGUCCAAGCGGCUCGAGGUGACACUAGCCCCCGUGCACGUGCCCAAGCCCAGCAAGCCUCUGCUCUCCGAGGCCAUCGACCUCUCCACGCUCAUGGCGGACGCGAUGUACGUCGGCUUCUCUGCGUCGUCGGGAGUCAUCUCGGGGCAUCACUACCUGCUCGGAUGGAGCUUCAGCUUGGACGGGCCUGCCCCGCCUCUUGACUUGUCCAAGCUUCCUGCCCUGCCACGCCUGGGACCCAAGCCUCGGUCCAAGGUCCUGGACAUCGUGUUGCCGCUGGCCAGCGCGUUGCUCGUGGCAGCAGCGCUGGCUGCGGUCUUCUUCUUUCUGUGGCGUCGGCGCCGGUUCGCCGAGGUGCGCGAAGGCUGGGAAGACGAGUUCGGCCCCCACCGAUAUGCAUACAAGGAUCUGCAUCGUGCCACUGAUGGGUUUAAGGAAAAAAACUUGCUCGGCGUCGGAGGGUUCGGGAGAGUGUACAAAGGCCUGCUUUCCGAAUCCAAUUUGGAGAUCGCCGUGAAGAGGGUGUCGCGUGAAUCAAGGCAAGGACUGCGUGAGUUCGUUGCCGAGGUGGCGAGCAUUGGCCGUCUCCGGCACCGGAAUCUCGUGCAGUUAUUGGGCUACUGCCGGCGCAAGGACGAGCUUAUCUUGGUGUAUGACUACAUGUCAAAUGGCAGCCUUGACAAGUACUUGCACGAUCCAAGCAUGCCCGUCAUAUCUUGGCCCGAAAGGUUCUCAAUCAUCAAAGGGGUCGCGUCAGGCGUGCUGUAUCUCCACGAGGAUUGGGAAAAGGUUGUCAUCCACAGAGAUAUCAAGGCAAGCAAUGUGCUCUUGGAUGAACAGAUGAAUGGAUGCCUUGGCGACUUCGGCCUGGCAAGGUUAUACGAUCAUGGAACCGUCGCUCAAACAACCCAUGUUGUCGGCACCAUGGGAUACCUUGCACCAGAGCUUGUGCGCACCGGGAAGGCAACACCCUUAACCGAUGUGUUUGCAUUCGGUGUCUUUCUCCUAGAGGUUGCAUGUGGACGACGACCGAUCGAGCGUGGCGAACGAAACACCCCUGUAGUGAUGAUUGAUUGGGUGCUUGAGCACCACCGCAAUGGAUCAUUACUCAAGGCGGUGGAUCCACGACUAACGGGAAAUUUUGACACAGAGGAGGUUACCCUCGUGCUGCAACUAGGUUUGUUGUGCUCGCACCCAUUGCCUGAUGCAAGGCCUAGCAUGCGAAAGGUUACACAAUACCUAGAUCGUGGGCAGUUGGUUCCUGAUCUGUCGCCGACUUACAUGAGCUACAGCAUGUUGGCGCUGAUGCAGAAUGACGGCUUCGAUUCGUACAUUAUGUCAUACCCUCCAUCAGCGACUAGUACUGCUGCGGUGUCUUAUGGGUCUUCGAUGACAUUUCUCACCGAGGGCAGAUGA